GCCCAACUGGCUCAGUUGGUGGAGUGUGUGACUCUUGAUCUCUAGGUUGCGAGUUUGAGCUCCACGUUGGGUG
rnacentral:tRNA from 1 species